UACGUAGGGUGCGAGCGUUGUCCGGAAUUACUGGGCGUAAAGAGCUCGUAGGUGGUUUGUCGCGUUGUUCGUGAAAACUCACAGCUUAACUGUGGGCGUGCGGGCGAUACGGGCAGACUGGAGUACUGCAGGGGAGACUGGAAUUCCUGGUGUAGCGGUGGAAUGCGCAGAUAUCAGGAGGAACACCGGUGGCGAAGGCGGGUAGCUGGGCUGACACUGACGCUGAUGCGCGAAAGCCAGGGGAGCGAACGGG
rnacentral:rRNA from 1 species